rnacentral:rRNA from 1 species
GAUGAACGCUGGCGGCGUGCUUAACACAUGCAAGUCGAACGGGAAACCUUUUAUUGAAGCUUCGGCAGAUUUAGCUGGUUUCUAGUGGCGGACGGGUGAGUAACGCGUGGGUAACCUGCCUUAUACAGGGGGAUAACAACCAGAAAUGGUUGCUAAUACCGCAUAAGCGCACAGGACCGCAUGGUCCGGUGUGAAAAACUCCGGUGGUAUAAGAUGGACCCGCGUUGGAUUAGCUAGUUGGCAGGGUAACGGCCUACCAAGGCGACGAUCCAUAGCCGGCCUGAGAGGGUGAGCGGACACAUUGGGACUGAGACACGGCCCAGACUCCUACGGGAGGCAGCAGUGGGGAAUAGUGCAAAAUGGGGGAAACACUGAUGCAGCGACGCCGCGUGAAGGAAGAAGUAUCUCGGUAUGUAAACUUCUAUCAGCAGGGAAGAUAGUGACGGUACCUGACUAAGAAGCCCCGGCUAACUACGUG